GAUGAACGCUGGCGGCGUGCCUAAUACAUGCAAGUCGAGCGAACAGACGAGGAGCUUGCUUCUCUGAUGUUAGCGGCGGACGGGUGAGUAACACGUGGAUAACCUACCUAUAAGACUGGGAUAACUUCGGGAAACCGGAGCUAAUACCGGAUAAUAUUUUGAACCGCAUGGUUCAAUAGUGAAAGACGGUUUUGCUGUCACUUAUAGAUGGAUCCGCGCUGCAUUAGCUAGUUGGUAAGGUAACGGCUUACCAAGGCAACGAUGCGUAGCCGACCUGAGAGGGUGAUCGGCCACACUGGAACUGAGACACGGUCCAGACUCCUACGGGAGGCAGCAGUAGGGAAUCUUCCGCAAUGGGCGAAAGCCUGACGGAGCAACGCCGCGUGAGUGAUGAAGGUCUUCGGAUCGUAAAACUCUGUUAUUAGGGAAGAACAUAUGUGUAAGUAACUAUGCACGUCUUGACGGUACCUAAUCAGAAAGCCACGGCUAACUACGUG
rnacentral:rRNA from 1 species